rnacentral:rRNA from 1 species
CCUACGGGUGGCAGCAGUGGGGAAUAUUGCACAAUGGGGGAAACCCUGAUGCAGCGACGCCGCGUGAGUGAUGAAGUAUUUCGGUAUUUAAAGCUCUAUCAGCAGGGACGAAAAUGACGGUACCUGACUAAGAAGCCCCGGCUAACUACGUCCCAGCAGCCGCGGUAAUACGUAGGGGGCAAGCGUUAUCCGGAUUUACUUGGGGGAAUGGGAGCGUAGACGGCGGUUCAGUCCUGAUGGGAAAGCCCGGGGCUCAACCCCUGUACUGCAUUUGGAACUGUGCUGCUAGAGUGGCGGAGAGGCAGGCGGAAUGCCUGGGGUAGCGGUGAAAUGCGUAGAUAUUAGGAGGAACACCAGUGGCGAAGGCGGCCUGCUGGACGAUAACUGACGUUGAGGCUCGAAAGCGUGGGGAGCAAACAGGAUUAGAUACCCUUGUAGUC